rnacentral:rRNA from 1 species
UACGGGGGGGUAAGCGUUGUUCGGAAUUACUGGGCGUAAAGGGCUCGUAGGCGGCCAACUAAGUCAGACGUGAAAUCCCUCAGCUUAACUGGGAACUGCGUCUGAUACUGGAUGGCUUGGAUUUGGGAGAGGGAUGCGGAAUUCCAGGUGUAGCGGUGAAAUGCGUAGAUAUCUGGAGGAACACCGGUGGCGAAGGCGGCAUCCUGGACCAAUAUUGACGCUGAGGAGCGAAAGCGUGGGGAGCAAACAGGG